AUUGAACGCUGGCGGCAGGCUUAACACAUGCAAGUCGAGCGGGGGAAGGUAGCUUGCUACCGGACCUAGCGGCGGACGGGUGAGUAAUGCUUAGGAAUCUGCCUAUUAGUGGGGGACAACAUCUCGAAAGGGAUGCUAAUACCGCAUACGUCCUACGGGAGAAAGCAGGGGAUCUUCGGACCUUGCGCUAAUAGAUGAGCCUAAGUCGGAUUAGCUAGUUGGUGGGGUAAAGGCCUACCAAGGCGACGAUCUGUAGCGGGUCUGAGAGGAUGAGCCGCCACACUGGGACUGGGACACGGCCCAGACUCCUACGGGAGGCAGCAGUGGGGAGUAUUGGACAAUGGGGGGAACCCUGAUCCAGCCAUGCCGCGUGUGUGAAGAAGGCCUUAUGGUUGUAAAGCACUUUAAGCGAGGAGGAGGCUACUCUAGUUAAUACCUAGGGAUAGUGGACGUUACUCGCAGAAUAAGCACCGGCUAACUCUGUGCCAGCCGCCGCCGUAA
rnacentral:rRNA from 1 species